rnacentral:rRNA from 1 species
AUUGAACGCUGGCGGCAUGCUUUACACAUGCAAGUCGAACGGUAACAGGGAGCUUGCUCCGCUGACGAGUGGCGAACGGGUGAGUAAUGCGUCGGAACGUGCCGAGUAGUGGGGGAUAACGCAUCGAAAGGUGUGCUAAUACCGCAUCCGUACUGAGGUAGAAAGUGGGGGACCUUCGGGCCUCACGCUAUUCGAGCGGCCGACGUCUGAUUAGCUAGUUGGGGAGGUAAAGGCUCACCAAGGCGACGAUCAGUAGCGGGUCUGAGAGGAUGAUCCGCCACACUGGGACUGAGACACGGCCCAGACUCCUACGGGAGGCAGCAGUGGGGAAUUUUGGACAAUGGGCGCAAGCCUGAUCCAGCCAUGCCGCGUGUCUGAAGAAGGCCUUCGGGUUGUAAAGGACUUUUGUCCGGGAGCAAAUGCUGGUGGCUAACAUCCACCGGAGCUGAGAGUACCGGAAGAAUAAGCACCGGCUAACUACGUGCCAGCCGCCGCAGUAAAAC